GCCCGGCCCUAAAUCCUGAUAUUCAUCACCACUAGAACAUCCGCCAGGGUACUACGAGCACAAACGCUUAAAACCCUAAGGACUUGGCGGUGCCCCAAACCCACCUAGAGGAGCCUGUCCUGUAAUCGACAACCCACGAUACACCCAACCACCCCUUGCCAAACAGCCUACAUACCGCCGUCGUCAGCCUACCUUUUGAAAGUGCAGUAGUGGGCACAACAGCCUCACCCCCCCCGCUAAAAAGACAGGUCAAGGUAUAGCCUAUGGGGUGGGAGAGAUGGGCUACACUCUCUGCCACAGAGAAUCUACGGAAGAGGGUGUGAAACCCCCACCCUCAGAAGGCGGAUUUAGCAGUAAAGAUGGGACCAUGACACCCUCUUUAAAAUGGCCCUGGGAC
rnacentral:rRNA from 1 species